UCCUGAGCCUGCUUGUUAAAGAUGAUUGCCAAAGAGCUGCUGCUGACUGAACUCCUGUGAUAUGCACACUACUCCUUUAAGUAUUUGAUCUCUCUGAUAAGUGCCGUGCAGUUUCAGUUUUGCUUCUAUUCGACUUUAACCUUUAGUUUCCGCGUGCCUUCUCACGCAUUCUUUUCUCAUCUGUAGUUCAUCAUUAGCCGUCCUCCCAACCGGACGCUGUUGAAAGCUCCAACCUGCCGCGGCCUCUUCUCUGAGUGACACAAGCAGAUCCUCUACGUCCAAGAAAUUAGAGCUCUUGUUCCUGGCUGUUCCACAGCACAUUAUCAGGGUUUAGAUGAAGAAACACUGCACUCAAGAUCGCUGGGAGCAAAAGAAACAGCUGGAGAAAAGAGGUGGGAACUUGAAAGUAAAAUGCAAAUAAUCCAGAGGAGGAGGAAGAAUGGGAGGAGUGAGAAAGUGAAAACUGGAGGGUGAAGCAGGAUAAAGUGAUAGAAGAGAGGGAGUCCAUCCUUUCGCUCCGAUCUCUCCAGCCACGUGUAGACCAGCAGCUCCGGGUGACGCACCUUUUUCCCCUGAAGUGAACCAUCACCUGCCAAAACUCCAAACUCGUCCUUCUGGUUGUUCAUUCCUCUUUUCCUUGGAUAGCCAGGAGCCUUCCCCAGCAGCGAGGUUGGAAGUUUGACAAAACUUUCCUGAAAACUGGCCAAAGAAAGGAUUUUCUUCAUUCUACAACUGCUGUUGAGCUUUCAGCUGGAGUCCAGCAGAGGACAGACGCUGAAGACACUUUAAGCCAUCAGCGUCGUGUCGGAGGGUCGGGGAGUUGAAGCCUCCGGAGGGGUCUGCUUUCUCACAGCUGUGAUCGAUUUGUUGAAGAUGUUGUAGUGAGUUGUGGGGCAGCAGACAGCAGAGGAUAAUGUGACACAGAUGAUGGUUUUGCCGCCUGUGCCAUGCAGAGGGAGAGGCCAGCUCUCGUGAGUGUGUUUGUGUUUCUGUGUUCUGUCAACAUCAUGGCCAUCACCCAAAAACCAUGCAGCAGGGACCUUAUUAACAACGUCCUGACCCUGAAGGAGAAAGUCUCCAUCAUCUCCAACAAGUUGUCGCUGAACUGCAGCCUGUACACACCCACCAUUGAAGACUACGAGAUUUGUCCCAAGACCACGAUGCAAUGUUUUGCUUCUGAAAUUAUCGUCCUCACGCAUGAGUGCGAGCUCCCGUCAAUGGGGAAAAAAUUGAAUAAAAUGCUGAGUAAACUGGCGUUCAGGAUAAACCAGCAGACAGCGUCAAAGUGUCGUCGGUGUGAGGUCAUGAAGGAGAAAAAUGCAACCACCUUUCUUGAAAAUCUGCUAUGGACUGUUGAGAAAUCUAACAGUGACUACUGUUAGGACUUUCAGAAGAGACUGCAUGGCCUGACUUUCUUUUCAUUAACUUUCUAUUAAACCACCUGCACACAAAUAAAGUGCAGAAUGUAUGAUGUCGGAGCAGCUCAGUGGCAUUUGAGUUACAGUUAGAGGCUAACGCGGGGUUCUGGGUGGAAAAAGCUUGCUUGUAGUUUCAUAUCAACUCAUCAGCUAACAUAAAUGUCUCACUGAUGAAGUCAUAAAGAAGACACAGUCAGAUCCCAGCUAAGCUGCAGUCAGAUGCUGAGAGCACGUUGGUCACUUUAAUGUGUUUUAAGGAAAUAUGUGUGUAUUUUCGUCUGCUAUUAAUGAGUAUUAUUAUAUUAAUAAGGUUGCUAUCAAGCAGUUGGACAGUGGGUGAAAAGGGGGCAUUGGGUCAGUGUGUUUAUUGGCCUUGGUAAACUGAUGGAAGUACACCGAGGAUGGCAGGAGGAAAACAGACCUGUCUACGCAUUUCACAACCACAGACACCAUCACAGAAAUGUGCGACAGUUUCUGAGCACGUGGGACUUCCUGAGGAUCGCACAACUGGCUUAGUCGAAAGCCACUGCCAGAUUAUUCAUGCAUCAGACAUUACAAUGCAAUGGACAUCUGCAAGGACAUCACUGCUUACCGCCUACUGUGGCCAAAAUAUGCUCCUACACAGCUCUGAUGUAAACCUCAGAAACAUAUAAAGUUAUUUCUACUCUUCUAAUAAGCUCAUUCUCUCCCUACUUUGAUCUGAUGCUCCUGUAUUUAGUUCAGUACAAUAAACUUCAUUUUAAAGUAAGCUGAUGCACGCGUUUCACUCUUAUUUCUUGCACCUUCAGAAUAAAAUUAUCCCGUUCUGUCUUUUUGUACAGCUUGGCUAGAUUAAGGAUCAUGUAAAGUUAGAUGAUAAAAAUUAAUUAUUUCAAGGUAAGUGAGCUUUAAAUGACAACAGCUUCAUAUUUUUAGACCUUGGAGUGUACUAGUGUAGCUUUAAUAAUCCAUAUCUACCCUCAUAAAGCCCUUCAGUUCAUCCUCAUUCAACAUUGAGUCUAACAGCCCACUUUCUCCUAAUCUGAGAACUUUUGGGAGCCUGCUGUGAGCUAGUCUCUCAUUGUACAUGAGUUUAGCCGCUUUAGUAUGAACAGCUGGAAACCAUCUACCCCCUGAGACGGACAGACCGUCGGGUUCUCUCCUUCAGAGUCUUGGCAAGACCAGAUCUUAACAAACUAAACAGACACACAGACUGUGCAGAUCACAUGAUGGGCAAAUACACUGUUUAG
ensembl:lncRNA